UCUAGUGACCAAACUAAAACGGGCCGAAUUAUUUAUCUCUGGCCCAUUGUAAUAACUCCGCAAGCCCGUUAAAUGGGAAACCCUAGAUGGCGAGAAGGAUCUCCGCUCCCAUAUAUAAAUAAUAACGAUGAACUCCAAUUUUGAAAGUACAACCUAUCUAACACUUUCAUCAGCAGCAGCUUCCAUCCUCGUCUAAAUCACUUUUGACAGUUUCACAGAGGAGGCAUGCAAUGGUUACAACAACUCUCUUGAUGAUCUAAAGCUAUAUGUGCAUUCUCGUCUGGCCACGGUUCCUGUGACUUCAAGAUACUGAUAGUGGUAGUUCGUAUCAGUUUCAGAGUUGUUGGGUGUUUUAGAAUCAGAUGAUCAGCAAGAACUACAGCUGAUCAUACAACUUCGGAGAAGAAUUUCCUCAAGAUAUAGGAAGCAUUGAAUAGCAAAACCUAGAGGGUCUGAGAUGAUGAAAGACAAGAUUGGUGAUUGUGGUGCAUCAGCUUUUACAGUAGUGCAAUGAAGUUAGUUGUAACAGUUGUUAGCGAAGAGGACUAGUGAACAUUUGUGGAGGAUAUGAAUGGUAUAUGUGAAGACGUUUGUUGUGGUCUUUUUACUGAUGUAUGUUUGUUGUACAAUUACCUGAAAAAAUACAUAAAUCUAAACCCCUGGAUCCAAAAUCA